rnacentral:rRNA from 1 species
GACGUCAAAUCAUCAUGCCCCUUAUGACCUGGGCUACACACGUGCUACAAUGGAUGGAACAAAGGGCAGCGAAGCCGUGAGGUGAAGCAAAUCCCAUAAAACCAUUCCCAGUUCGGAUUGCAGGCUGCAACUCGCCUGCAUGAAGCCGGAAUCGCUAGUAAUCGCGGAUCAGCAUGCCGCGGUGAAUACGUUCCCGGGCCUUGUACACACCGCCCGUCACACCACGAGAGUUGGCAACACCCGAAGUCGGUGAGGUAACCAUUUGGAGCCAGCCGCCGAAGGUGGGGCCAAUGAUUGGGGUGAAGUCGUAACAAGGUAGCCGUAUCGGAAGGUGCGGCUGGAUCACCUCCUUUCUA